AAGAGAGGUCACUAAAACUGUGUGUCAAAGAGGAAGUAUCCAGCUUCCAGGUGAUGCUGCUGAGUUUCCUCGACUCUCUAGAACAGUGAUUCUCAAACUGAGAUGCUUUGGGCCUCCAGCGGACACUUGGCAACAUUGUGGAGACAUCUCUGAUUGUUACAACUGGGGUGGUGCAACGAAGCGGAGGCCAGCAACACCGCUAAGCAUCCUACCAUGCUCGGGACAGCCCCGCAUGACAAAGCAGUGUCUCGCCUAAAGCCUAGGAACUUGGUGUGCCAACUGCAGGAUUCAGGUACAAAGUCUCAGGUAUAUCUAACCAAAGUGUUUACACAUUCAAGUGUUUAAUUUCCAUUAUAACCGGGACCCUGUUGUUCCUGAUAGGCCUUUGAUAUCCUCGAGCUUGUGAAAUUUAUUGGUCCAAAAGGCUGCAAACUUUAACAAUCAUAUUUAGGAAUUACCCAACAACCUAUACCUGUGCUGUAAUCUGACUCCAGUUUGAAUAUAAUUUAGAUAUAAUUUUUCUGUAUAGAAAUGGUUAUGUGGGGUGACUUUUUCCCACCUAAACCAAAGGAAAAACAUGGAAAGUCUGAUUUUGUUGUUGUUGUUGUUAAAAUUAAAUACAGAAUGGAGACUGGACUUGAAAAUUUCCUCACACAACCAUUUAUGCCACAUAAGCAUGUUUAUUUCUUAAACAUUACUAAAAGUUAACUUAGGUUAUUUCUUGCAAAUGCUUCUGAUAAUCAUAAAAGAAAGUCAUUAUCAUCCUAAAUAUGGUAUGAGAUAAUCACUUUGAACCAGCCCCCAACCAUCUGGAAACCUCCAGUGAAAUAACCAGUCAUUGUAAAGGUUGAACAACUCCCUCUUUUUACUUUAUAAACCAUCCUGUAAUGCCAUGCCCUUGAGCUUCAUAUCAGUUUUAAAUUUGAGAGCUCCCAGUUCUCAAACUAUUCUCACAUGCGCAAUAAAAUCUUACUAAAUACCAUCUAUUGGAGUUCCCAUCAUGGCUCAGUGGAAACGAAUCUGACUAGUAUCCAUGAGGAUGCCGGUUCGAUCCCUGCCCCCGCUCAGUGGGUUAAGGAUCUGGUGUUGCUGUGAGCUGUGGUGUAGGUUGCAGACGUGGCUCGGAUCCCACGUUGCCCUGGCUGUGGUGUAGGCUGGCAGCUUUAGCUUUGAUUCCACUCCUGGCCUGGGAACCUCCAUAUGCCAUGGGUGAGGCCCUGAAAAACAAAAAAACUAUCUACUGAUGUAGGCGUUUUAAAUAUUGCUAUUUCUGGGUUUUUUGAGAGUGUUAGGGGCUGAAUUGUGUCCCCCAGAAUUCAUGUUGAAGCCCUAACCCCUAGUGCCUCAGAGUGAGACUAUAUUUGGAGACAGGAUCUUUUUUUUUUUUUUUUUUUUUGGCUUUCUGUCUUUCCUAGGGCUGCAUCCGCAGCAUAUGGAGGUUCCCAGGCUAGCGGUCGAAUCGGAGCUGUAGCCCCUAGCCUACGCCAGAGCCACAGCAACGUGGGAUCUGAGCCGCGUCUACAACCUACACCACAGCUCACGGCAAUGCCAGAUCCUUAACCCACUGAGCAAGGCCAGGGAUCGAACCUGCAACCUCGUAGCUCCUAGUCAGAUUUGUUAACCACUGCGCCACGACGGGAACUCCAGGAGACAGGAUCUUAGUGAGAGAGGCGAGCAAGUUAAAAUGUGGUCCCCAGAAAGAGCCUUGAUCCAGUCUGACUGGUGUGAUAAGAAUAGGAAAGUAGGACAGAGACGCACAUAGAGGGAGGACCACGUGGAGGCACAA
rnacentral:lncRNA from 1 species